AAUCUGAAUCGGAAUCUGAAUUGGAAUCGGAAUCGGAAUCUGAACCUUGAAAACCUUGUAUGCCUAGUUCCUGAAAACCUUGUUACCUUGUUUCCUGACACUGAGCACCAACAACAAGCAAACAAGAGAAUGGCGUGUGGCUUUCGGUUGGAGGAUCAUAUAGCAAUGACUACAGUUCUUUCUGCUAGUGAUGAGUGGAACUGCCCUGCUUUGCUUCACUGAAAAAUUUGUGAAACCAUGGAAAUAUUCCCGAAAUAGCAACGUUUCAGCAAAUGUAUUAAAGUCAGUGUUUCUUGACCCAAAUGCAUAGGAGUCAAUACGAUAUUUUCUAACAUUUUUUUCUUGUGUCAAAUGCUUUUGUGCCAAUGGUGUUUUUUCUCAUGUUUUUAUUCUCUCAUUAGAGUCAAUGAGUUUUUAUGUAAGAAAUGCUAUGGGCUUCUUUUCUUUCGCUGUAUGCAUUAAAUGGGCUUUUUAGUUG